GACGAACGCUGGCGGCGUGCUUAACACAUGCAAGUCGAACGGAAAGGCCCUGCUUUUGUGGGGUGCUCGAGUGGCGAACGGGUGAGUAACACGUGAGUAACCUGCCCUUGACUUUGGGAUAACUUCAGGAAACUGGGGCUAAUACCGGAUAGGAGCUCCUGCUGCAUGGUGGGGGUUGGAAAGUUUCGGCGGUUGGGGAUGGACUCGCAGCUUAUCAGCUUGUUUGUGGGGUAGUGGCUUACCAAGGCUUUGACGGGUAGCCGGCCUGAGAGGGUGACCGGCGACAUUGGGACUGAGGUACGGCCCAGACUCGUACGGGAGGCAGCAGUGGGGAAUAUUGCACAAUGGGCGGAAGCGUGAUGCAGCAACGCCGCGUGCGGGAUGACGGCCUUCGGGUUGUAAACAGCUUUCGAAUGUGACGAAGCGUGAGUGACGGUAAUGGGUAAAGAAGCACCGGCUAACUACGUG
rnacentral:rRNA from 1 species